rnacentral:rRNA from 1 species
UGUGGAUUGUCCUUUGGACAAUGGUAGGAGAGCGUUCUAAGGGCGUCGAAGCAUGAUCGCAAGGACAUGUGGAGCGCUUAGAAGUGAGAAUGCCGGUGUGAGUAGCGAAAGACGGGUGAGAAUCCCGUCCACCGAUUGACUAAGGUUUCCAGAGGAAGGCUCGUCCGCUCUGGGUUAGUCGGGUCCUAAGCUGAGGCCGACAGGCGUAGGCGAUGGAUAACAGGUUGAUAUUCCUGUACCACCUAGUAUCGUUUUAAUCGAUGGGGGGACGCAGUAGGAUAGGCGAAGCGUGCUGUUGGAGUGCACGUCCAAGCAGUAAGGCUGAGUGUUAGGCAAAUCCGGCACUCAUAAGGCUGAGCUGUGAUGGGGAGAGGAAAUUGUUUCCUCGAGUCGUUGAUUUCACACUGCCGAGAAAAGCCUCUAGAUAGAUAACAGGUGCCCGUACCGCAAACCGACACAGGUAGUCAAGAUGAGAAUUCUAAGGUGAGCGAGCGAACUCUCGUUAAGGAACUCGGCAAAAUGACCCCGUAACUUCGGGAGAAGGGGUGCUCUUUAGGGUUCACGCCCAGAAGAGCCGCAGUGAAUAGGCCCAAGCGACUGUUUAUCAAAAACACAGGUCUCUGCUAAACCGUAAGGUGAUGUAUAGGGGCUGACGCCUGCCCGGUGCUGGAAGGUUAAGAGGAGUGGUUAGCUUCUGCGAAGCUACGAAUCGAAGCCCCAGUAAACGGCGGCCGUAACUAUAACGGUCCUAAGGUAGCGAAAUUCCUUGUCGGGUAAGUUCCGACCCGCACGAAAGGCGUAACGAUUUGGGCACUGUCUCAACGAGAGACUCGGUGAAAUCAUAGUACCUGUGAAGAUGCAGGUUACCCGCGACAGGACGGAAAGACCCCGUGGAGCUUUACUGUAGCCUGAUAUUGAAAUUCGGCACAGCUUGUACAGGAUAGGUAGGAGCCUUUGAAACGUGAGCGCUAGCUUACGUGGAGGCGUUGGUGGGAUACUACCCUAGCUGUGUUGGCUUUCUAACCCGCACCACUUAUCGUGGUGGGAGACAGUGUCAGGCGGGCAGUUUGACUGGGGCGGUCGCCUCCUAAAAGGUAACGGAGGCGCUCAAAGGUUCCCUCAGAAUGGUUGGAAAUCAUUCAUAGAGUGUAAAGGCAUAAGGGAGCUUGACUGCGAGACCUACAAGUCGAGCAGGGUCGAAAGACGGACUUAGUGAUCCGGUGGUUCCGCAUGGAAGGGCCAUCGCUCAACGGAUAAAAGCUACCCCGGGGAUAACAGGCUUAUCUCCCCCAAGAGUUCACAUCGACGGGGAGGUUUGGCACCUCGAUGUCGGCUCAUCGCAUCCUGGGGCUGUAGUCGGUCCCAAGGGUUGGGCUGUUCGCCCAUUAAAGCGGUACGCGAGCUGGGUUCAGAACGUCGUGAGACAGUUCGGUCCCUAUCCGUCGUGGGCGUAGGAAAUUUGAGAGGAGCUGUCCUUAGUACGAGAGGACCGGGAUGGACAUACCUCUGGUGUACCAGUUGUCGUGCCAACGGCAUAGCUGGGUAGCUAUGUAUGGACGGGAUAAGUGCUGAAAGCAUCUAAGCAUGAAGCCCCCCUCAAGAUGAGAUUUCCCAACUUCGGUUAUAAGAUCCCUCGAAGAUGACGAGGUUAAUAGGUUCGAG